GACGAACGCUGGCGGCGUGCUUAACACAUGCAAGUCGAACGGAAAGGCCCUGCUUUUGUGGGGUGCUCGAGUGGCGAACGGGUGAGUAACACGUGAGUAACCUGCCCUUGACUUUGGGAUAACUUCAGGAAACUGGGGCUAAUACCCGAUAGGAGCUCCUGCUGCAUGGUGGGGUUUGGAAAGUUUCGGCGGUUGGGGAUGGACUCGCGGCUUAUCAGCUUGUUGGUGGGGUAGUGGCUUACCAAGGCUUUGACGGGUAGCCGGCCUGAGAGGGUGACCGGCCACAUUGGGACUGAGAUACGGCCCAGACUCCUACGGGAGGCAGCAGUGGAGAAUAUUGCACAAUGGGCGGAAGCCUGAUGCAGCAACGCCGCGUGCGGGAUGACGGCCUUCGGGUUGUAAACCGCUUUCGCCUGUGACGAAGCGUGAGUGACGGUAAUGGGUAAAGAAGCACCGGCUAACUACGUG
rnacentral:rRNA from 1 species